rnacentral:rRNA from 1 species
AGGCUGCAGUCAUGAAUAUUCCACAAUGCACGAAAGUGUGAUGGAGCGACGCCGCGUGCAGGAAGACGCCUUUCGAGGUGUAAACUGCUUUUAUCGAGGACGAAUUAGUGACGGUACUCGAAGAAUAAGAGGGUGCUAACUCUGUGCCAGCAGCAGCGGUAAUACAGAGCCCUCGAGCGUUAUCCGGUUUCGUUGGGCGUAAAGCGUCCGCAGGUGGUUUGAAAAGUUCGUUGUUAAAUCUUGAGGCUUAACCUCAAGACUGCAACCAAAACUUUCAAACUUGAGGUUGGGAGAGGUAAGCGGAACACACGGUGUAGUCGUAAUAAGCGCUGAUAUCGUGUGGAACACCAAAGGCGAAGGCAGCUUACUAGAACAAACCUGACACUCAUGGACGAAAGCGUGGGGAGCGAAUGGGAUUAGAUACCCCAGUAGUCCACGCCGUAAACGAUGUAUACUAGGUAUUGGAAGUAUCGACCCUUUCAGUGCCGUUCAAGAAAGCUAACGCGUUAAGUAUACCGCCUGGGUAGUACGGCCGCAAGGCUAAAACUCAAAGGAAUAGACGGGGACCCGCACAAGCGGUGGAUCAUGUGGUUUAAUUCGACGGUACGCGAGUAACCUUACCAAGGCUUGACAUAUAACUGCAAGCUUCCCGAAAGGGAGGCCCCCUUCGAGGGUGUUAUACAGGUGCUGCAUGGUUGCCGUCAGCUCGUGCCGUGAGGUGUACCCUUAAGUGGGGUAACGAGCGCAACCCUCGUUCUGUGUUAAAUGUACACAGAAGACUGCCGGCGUAAGCCGGAGGAAGGUGGGGACGACGUCAAAUCAGCAUGGCUCUUACGUCUUGGGCUACACACAUGAUACAAUGGUCGGUACAGAGGGUCGCAAAGUCGCGAGACUAAGCUAAUCCCAGAAAGCCGGCCUAAGUUCGGAUUGGAGGCUGCAACUCGCCUCCAUGAAGUUGGAAUCGCUAGUAACCGCGCAUCAUCACGACGCGGUGAAUACGUUCUCGGGUCUUGUACUCACCGCCCGUCAUACCACGAAAGUUGGCAAUGCCCGAAGCUUCUUUAUUUAAUAAAGGGAGUGAAGGCAGGGUUAGUAAUCAGGGUAAAGUCGUAACAAGGCAUCCGUAGCGGAAGCUGUGGAUGGAUCACCUCCUUUCU